GGUUGCAGUAACCGAUAAUUCAAACUCACAAACGAGACCGAGGUGAAUUUUCUUAGUCAUCCCUACUCGAGCCAUUCAGUUGGCUACAGCCAGGACGUGUGUAGUCUGUAUAUGCAUGUAGGCACAUCAUUUUUGCAUCUGCAUUUGAGCUUACUGAAAUCUGUACCAACAGCGCUAGCUAUACCAGCAAGAGGAGGCCUGAUAGAGAGCUUGCUGAAUUAAACUCAACCACUGUCGCUCUUUUCCCCGACUUGUCUGUUACAGCUCAUCAGAUCCGUGGCUGAUCAGACAACUCAGCGCCCAGGUGGUCAGUAUAAAUCUGUUUUUGUACUGUGGCCUUCUACAGGGGCAGCCAGACAUGGAGACCUUACCAGCAUCGGGAUCUUCUGUGUGGAAGGAGCUCAACCACUGCCUUGGGGACCAACCAGGCCUGGGGAGAGAAUCGCAUUUCCAUUUUGCAGAGGGGACUAAUGGUACACAGGAAGCUCUCCUGGAAUUUCUCAGAUAACCGUUACCUGUAAGACAGAUUGUAGAGGACGUGCAAUGGCUCAUCCCCAGGUAUGACACUACUCGUGCCAGAUCACUCUCAAUUAUACCAUUAAGGUUUACGGACUUUUCCUCACUCUUUUCAAGUCCACACAGACGGCUCACGUUCAAAGCAGGAAAAAUCGUAUCUUGAAGCCUAAAACUUUUAGAAAAGCUGGAAGGGUACAGACUGUUCCUGGAAACCGCCUUUUUCAUCUAGAAGGGCUUUCCCAAGCUAGAAGUCUGAAGGUUUUUAAAAAGUGUUACAAAAUCCCUACAGAUGUAGAUACAAAGCAUCUGCAGUCGUUGACAGCUUCACAGAUUUAUUUAAGUUAUUUCUGAAUGGCAUAUUCUGUAAGUAAACAUCUUAUGGUUACUAAUCGUCAGAAGGGGAAGUAAUUAGAUUACUCUCUCCUUAUUUUUUUGCUCAUUUCAUUCUGAC
ensembl:lncRNA